rnacentral:rRNA from 1 species
UAAGGAAUAUUGGUCAAUGGAGGCAACUCUGAACCAGCCAUGCCGCGUGCAGGAAGACGGCCCUCUGGGUUGUAAACUGCUUUUAUUCGGGAAUAAACCUAUCUACGUGUAGAUAGCUGAAUGUACCGAAGGAAUAAGGAUCGGCUAACUCCGUGCCAGCAGCCGCGGUAAUACGGAGGAUCCAAGCGUUAUCCGGAUUUAUUGGGUUUAAAGGGUGCGUAGGCGGCCUAUUAAGUCAGGGGUGAAAGACGGUAGCUCAACUAUCGCAGUGCCCUUGAUACUGAUGGACUUGAAUGAACUGGAGGUAGGCGGAAUGUGACAAGUAGCGGUGAAAUGCAUAGAUAUGUCACAGAACACCGAUUGCGAAGGCAGCUUACUAUGGUUUUAUUGACGCUGAGGCACGAAAGCGUGGGGAUCAAACA